UGAAUUUAGUGUGUGAGAGCCACUCCACGGUGAAGGCAAGGAGAAAAACAAAAAUUAAAACGAUGACUGAGGAGAAAAAGCUCCGACCAGGCCAACCGGGGAAGAGGAUCUCUAUCGUCUUUCCCCAAUAAAAUGUCAUGGGUUGGAAAUUUUUUACUUCAAAAAGUCUAAGAGAAUUCUCUCAAGAGCUAGAAGAUUUCCUAACUCAUGAAGUCGAUUGUCCUCGAAAAUUGAAGUUUCUUUAGAAAUACAAGCUUUCUUCCAAUAACUUCAAGAACAUCGCGUGUUUCGUUUCCUCAAAUCAAAUGUAAGCAUCUAAUCGAGAGAGAAUCAGAUGAUCAAAUACUAGAGAUCGAACCACGUCAUAUCAAAUCAUCACAAAUAUAAUGUCAACUUAAGUUCAACUCCACAAAUCAAAAUUCUCCAAAAAUUUCGUGUGAA